AGCUGCGACUGUAUAUGUUAACUUGUAUCGAAUUUUAGGGUUGCCGUAGCUGCUGCUGCCGUUGCCGCAUCUCAUUCAAUUCGUUUCGUUUAACAAACAAAACACGAUGCAAUGAAGAGAAACAAAGGAAUGAUGGUUAAGCCAACCAUCGAUUGCGGCUCAUUCCGCAACUUGAUUCUUUUACUCCUAUGGUUCCUAUGGAGGAAGCGCUUUAAGUCAGUGCGCUUUUUCUUCAAGUUUGCCUUCGGAGAUUGAAUGGAGAUCCGAUCUCAAUUCCAAAAGUGUUCCUGCAUUUUGCUUGGAUCUACUUUUGUAAGUGAUUUUCUCACAUCAUUAUUAUUAACAUUAUGAAACUAUAAAUGCGAAGGUCCCAGCAGGGAGGCGAGUUACUCAUAUUGUUGAGGCCUCUCUAACAAUGAAAUUUAACACCCUUCGCAGAGUUAUUUGCCGAAUCGUAAGAUGCCCAAAUUUUUCUUUCAUUUUGGUGCAUCUAGAACCCUCGGCUAUAUUUUUUAUUUCCUCUAAAAACUACAUAUCUUCUGCUCUAUAAUUCACAUCAUUUUCUUUUUUCAUUUUGUACAAAUGAGUGGAAAUCAUUUUCACUUUUUUGGCUUUAUCA